rnacentral:lncRNA from 1 species
AAAAGGAAGGAAAAAAAAAAAAACUCCACCUUUGCUCCAGCAUAUACCAAGCUCUCGGCUCUCUCCCUAAAAAAAGGAGACAAGACACAGAACAAAAAAAAAAAAAACUUCGGCUUUCCUUGAGCUUUCAACGGACAGAAAAAAGCCAAACAAAAGAAAUUUUGGGUGCCUGAGGCUCCUGACUCUCCAUUUUUAUUCGGCUACCAACACAUUCUCUCCUUCAUUGAGGUACUUAUUUAUAUUUUUUUCUUUUUCUAGCUUUCCUUUCCUCAAUUAAUCAGAUUAAAUUCAUGCUGCCAUUUAUUUGUCCCUUGCUUUCGUUUGUUGUUGUUGCUAUUGAUGUUGUUGAAGUUUUGGGUAAAGCCAUGAAUAAACAUUAGGAAAAAGAUGAUUUCUGUGAAUGCAUGUUAGGUGUUUGUUAAAAUGCAAAAAUGGAAAACGAAUUAAAAGCUGAAUAUUGUGCAUGUUUUUCUUGUCAAAAUAGAUAACCGUUUGCUAGUGUAGGUCUGAAAAUGUUGGAAUUAUCUAAAUAUUUUGGAGUUUUUGAGCUUUAAAGGCAUUGAAGUAGUUUUCUUCAUUUAGGGGCUGUUUUUGCUUUAAUUUAGCCAUUUUAUGUUGUUUUCUUGUCAAAUUAAAAUCAUAAUUGUAUUAUAGAAGUUGUAAGAGUGUUGUAGUAUAAUUUUUAUGAUUUUUGGUGAAAGAUAGGGUGAUUUGAAAAAUAAAAAUUGCUGCUGUUUUUUGGCAUUUUGGCCACCUUCAGGUCAUUUUUUCUAAAAAUUAACUUCGAAAAUGGAAUCUACGCGACAAAUGAGUGAGGGGUGUAUUUUGGCAAUUUUGGCGACCAAAAAAUUCGCCGGUGGCCGGCGACGAGCUGCCAUGGCCGCCAGCUGAAGCUUCUUCAGCUGGCCAAAGAAGAAGAGAAAGAAACGACUGGGAAGUGGAGGAAGAAGGAAGAAAAGAAAAGGAAAGAAAAGAAAGAAAAGGGAUGAGUUGGGCUAAUUUUUAUUUGUUUUGUGGGCUUGUUUCUUAUUUUUGGUUGGGCUAGAAAGUCAGACCCAUAUUUUAUUUUGGUUGGAUUUGAGUGAUAAAAGACAGGUUGGCUUGUGUAUUUUGGCUUGGACUUUUGUUGGGUUAAGGUAGUAUCUGGUCCAAGCGCCUGUUGGGUUAGGAAGACCAGAAAUGAAUUUGCUCUUUUGCCCCUAUACUUUUACGUUAUUGUAUUGUGACCCUAAUUACUUUAAGUUUCUUCAAUUAGGUCCUUAAUUAAUUGCAAAUAGGUCCCUAAACUUUAUUUUCCUUUAAUUUGGACCUCAAAUAUUUGUAGUAAUUAUAAUUUAACCCUAAAACUUAAUUAAUCUUUG